rnacentral:piRNA from 1 species
UGCAUGAACAGUUUUGAAAUCCCCUCACCCC